rnacentral:rRNA from 1 species
CACACGACCGUACCGCAAACCGACACUGGUGCGCGAGAUGAGUAUUCUAAGGCGCUUGAGAGAACUCGGGAGAAGGAACUCGGCAAAUUGACACCGUAACUUCGGAAGAAGGUGUGCCUUUAGUAGGCGAACCAUUUACUUGGGGAGCCCAAUGAGGUUGCAAAAAAUCGGUGGCUGCGACUGUUUAUUAAAAACACAGCACUCUGCAAACACGAAAGUGGACGUAUAGGGUGUGACGCCUGCCCGGUGCUGGAAGAUUAAAUGAUGGGGUGCAAGCUCUUGAUUGAAGUCCCAGUAAACGGCGGCCGUAACUAUAACGGUCCUAAGGUAGCGAAAUUCCUUGUCGGGUAAGUUCCGACCUGCACGAAUGGCGUAACGAUGGCCACACUGUCUCCUCCCGAGACUCAGCGAAGUUGAAAUGUUUGUGAUGAUGCAAUCUCCCCGCGGAAAGACGGAAAGACCCCAUGAACCUUUACUGUAGCUUUGUAUUGGACUUUGAACAGAUCUGUGUAGGAUAGGUGGGAGGCUUUGAAGUAGGGUCGCUAGAUCUUAUGGAGCCAACGUUGAAAUACCACCCUGGUGUGUUUGAGGUUCUAACCUAGGUCCAUUAUCUGGAUCGGGGACAGUGCAUGGUAGGCAGUUUGACUGGGGCGGUCUCCUCCCAAAGCGUAACGGAGGAGUUCGAAGGUACGCUAGUUACGGUCGGACAUCGUGACGAUAGUGCAAUGGCAUAAGCGUGCUUAACUGCGAGACUGACAAGUCGAGCAGAUGCGAAAGCAGGACAUAGUGAUCCGGUGGUUCUGUAUGGAAGGGCCAUCGCUCAACGGAUAAAAGGUACUCUGGGGAUAACAGGCUGAUACCGCCCAAGAGUUCAUAUCGACGGCGGUGUUUGGCACCUGGAUGUCGGCUCAUCUCAUCCUGGGGCUGUAGCCGGUCCCAAGGGUAUGGCUGUUCGCCAUUUAAAGAGGUACGUGAGCUGGGUUUAAAACGUCGUGAGACAGUUUGGUCCCUAUCUUCCGUGGGCGCUGCAGAUUUGAGGAAGCCUGCUCCUAGUACGAGAGGACCGGAGUGGACACACCUCUGGUGUAUCGGUUGUCACGCCAGUGGCAUUGCCGAGUAGCUAAGUGUGGAAGAGAUAACCGCUGAAAGCAUCUAAGCGGGAAACUCGUUUCAAGAUGAGAUCUGCCGGGGCCUUGAGCCCCCUAAAGAGUCGUUCAAGACCAGGACGUUGAUAGGUCAGGUGUGGAAGCGCAGUAAUGCGUUAAGCUAACUGAUACUAAUUGCUCGUGCGGCUUGACCU